CAGCCUGAAGUGAUGAUCUUAAUCCAUGUCUCUUCUCUGAGAUUUAUUGUGGAGACAACUAGAAGAAUUUCUGAUCAGGCUU
ensembl:snoRNA small nucleolar RNA, C/D box 111B